rnacentral:rRNA from 1 species
UACGGGGGGGGCAAGUGUUCUUCGGAAUUACUGGGCGUAAAGGGCGCGUAGGCGGCCUGCUAAGUCGAACGUGAAAUCCCUGGGCUCAACCCAGGAACUGCGUCCGAUACUGGUUGGCUUGAAUCCGGGAGAGGGAUGCGGAAUUCCAGGUGUAGCGGUGAAAUGCGCAGAUAUCGGGAGGAACACCAAUGGCGAAGGCAGCUUGCUGGGACGGUACUGACGCUGAGACGCGAAAGCGUGGGGAGCAAACAGG